rnacentral:rRNA from 1 species
ACGAUCCCUAGCUGGUCUGAGAGGAUGAUCAGCCACACUGGAACUGAGACACGGUCCAGACUCCUACGGGAGGCAGCAGUGGGGAAUAUUGCACAAUGGGCGAAAGCCUGAUGCAGCCAUGCCGCGUGUAUGAAGAAGGCCUUCGGGUUGUAAAGUACUUUCAGUUGUGAGGAAGGGGGUGUCGUUAAUAGCGGCAUCUCUUGACGUUAGCAACAGAAGAAGCACCGGCUAACUCCGUGCCAGCAGCCGCGGUAAUACGGAGGGUGCGAGCGUUAAUCGGAAUUACUGGGCGUAAAGCGCAUGCAGGUGGUUCAUUAAGUCAGAUGUGAAAGCCCGGGGCUCAACCUCGGAACUGCAUUUGAAACUGGUGAACUAGAGUACUGUAGAGGGGGGUAGAAUU